AACGGGGGGGACAAGUGUUACUCGUAAGAACUUGGCGUAAAGGGUACGUAGACGGUUUUUUGAAAGGUUUAUUGCAUAAAGGACUGCGGAGACGCUUGUUUGCAUAUUUAAACUUCAAAACUUAGAGUUCGGAAGGGGAAAGCGGUACUCUCAGCGUAAGGGUGAAAUCUUAAGAAACUGACGGGGACCAACAAUAGCAAAGGCAGCUUUCCAGUACGCAACUGACGUUGAGGUACGAAAGCAUAGGUAGCAAACCGG
rnacentral:rRNA from 1 species